GACGAACGCUGGCGGCGUGCCUAACACAUGCAAGUCGAGCGAGCGGCGGACGGGUGAGUAAUGCCUGGGAAUUGCCCAGUCGAGGGGGAUAACAGUUGGAAACGACUGCUAAUACCGCAUACGAUUGGAUUGCCUAGGGGGGAUUAGCUAGUUGGUGAGGUAAUGGCUCACCAAGGCGACGAUCCCUAGCUGGUCUGAGAGGAUGAUCGUCCACACUGGAACUGAGACACGCUCCAGACUCCUACGGGAGGCAGCAGUGGGGAAUAUUGCACAAUGGGGGAAACCCGGAUGCGUCCAGGCCGCGUGUGUGAAGAAGGCCUUCGGGUUUUAAAGCACUUUCAUCGAGGAGGCGUUACUCGCAGAGGAAGCACCGGCUAACUCCGUGCCAGCAGCCGCGGUAAUAC
rnacentral:rRNA from 1 species